CCUACGGGAGGCAGCAGUGGGGAAUAUUGGGCAAUGGGCGCAAGCCUGACCCAGCAACGCCGCGUGAAGGAAGAAGGCUUUCGGGUUGUAAACUUCUUUUCUCAGGGACGAAGAAAGUGACUGUACCUGAGGAAUAAGCCACGGCUAACUACGUGCCAGCAGCCGCGGUAAUACGUAUGGAGCAAGCGUUAUCCGGAUUUACUGGGUGUAAAGGGAGCGUAGGCGGCCCUGUAAGUCUGAUGUGAAAAUUUGGGGCUCAACCCCAAACGUGCAUUGGAAACUGCAGGGCUUGAGUGCCGGAGAGGCAGGCGGAAUGCCUAGUGUAGCGGUGAAAUGCGUAGAUAUUAGGAGGAACACCAGUGGCGAAGGCGGCCUGCUGGACGGUAACUGACGCUGAGGCUCGAAAGCGUGGGGAGCAAACAGGAUUAGAUACCCCUGUAGUC
rnacentral:rRNA from 1 species